UAUAUUUAACCAUUAUUUAUCCUUAUAUCUUAAGUCUAAUCAUAUUGAUGCUAUGCACCUUCAGUGUAAACCACUAAAUCAGAAACCGUAGAAGCAUUAAUAAAUGGGGCACACAAUUAACCUCACAAAGAUGCAUCACCAUGUAUCACAAUCUAAAGAUACAACUUGUGCUACCAUGACUUUGUGUAACCACACCUAUCUUUUGAUACAAAGUAAGUGUGCACGUGCAACACACGUAUUAUAUCUAUAAUUAAAACAUUUUAAAUCUUAAUCUUGAUCCAAGACGAACAACAGACAUAGCCCAAGAAUAUCCUAAGUUUUCAAGUCUUUAUUUCUUAUAUCAUCAUCAUUGAAUUCAAGUCGAGUAAAAUGACGACUAUUUUUUUCUAAAACGUCUCAUGUGAACGUAAAGUCAAGUAGUAAUAAGAAUUUUUUUGAAAUACCGACACGCCACAAAAUAAUAAGUAUCAUAAUAUGAAGCAAAAUGUACCUGUUCCGGAUUGUCGGACACAAUAUUUCUCGUGAAGUACUCCAUGAAAUUUAACAUCCAGAGACCACAAGAUGACCUACAUGAUUACAAUUUUUUGAUAUGUUCAAUAACAAACAUCAAUAAAGAUCUCAAUAGUUGUAUAAAACUAUCAAAAUGGUUAUGACUGGACAUUUUUCUAAAUCCUUGUGACAUAUAAAAACAUAGCACCCACAUAGUCAACUCGGACACACCCAAUAUGUUUUUUGGUCAACAUCCGAUGCUAAUAUAAACCAAAUGACGGAAGGGCUAUUGAUAAACAAAAUGACUUGGCAUCUCAGAAAAACUGACUUGGCAUCUCAGAAAAACUGACUUGGACAACGUCUAUAUUUUUUUUAGAGGAACGCCUAUGCUUAUUAGUACUUGACCAAAAAGGCUUCGAUCUAAAAAGAAAAAAGAAAGAAAAAGAAUAGACACGCAGACGCUUAUCCCUUCACUCUCUCACCACCACUCCCCAUUCCAUGGUGGCCUCCGCCUGUUCUCCUCGCUGCCUGCUCUCCUCCGCAUGUCGCGCCGUCGCACGGCACCUCCUCUCUGCUGCUACGAUGUCGGCCGGCGCCUCCUCCUCCACCCCUCUGCCUCGCCCUGCCGCCUCCUCUCCGCACGAGAGCCUCGCCUCACCAGCAAACCCGCCGGUCUUCCCUAGAUAAACUCUGUCGCUGCCAUCCCCAUGUCCCAGCGCAGAUCUAGACGGGAGCUAGAGGGGCAUGCUGGACACGAUGCGGGAGCGGACAUAUCAUAGCGGACCAAGAUCGAGUGCGUCUACGUGCCUGCCGUCAUCGUUGGCCCUCGUGCUUGGCUCCCACACUCGCUCUGGGUAGGCGCUCGCAGCUCGCCUACUGCUCGGCUGCUCCAGGAUUGUAAAAAAAAUAUGGAAUGGCGAUUCUGGGAGAAGCUGGGGAGGAGGGGGGCGAUUCUGGAAGAAUCGCCGAAAAAAACUGGCCCGGACUCAGGUAGUCGCAAUUGGAUGUCAGCUUCUUAAUCAGUACUCAUAGUUUUUGUGGUUUACCAUGCAAGUGUUGGGUGCCAUUCUCAAUGACCUUCUGAUGAGGCAUGCUGAAUAAUUAUGUGGUUUAGCAAUUAACAAAAUCAUUUGACAAUUGAAGUGGAAAUGAAAUUCUAGUAUUAUCUUACUAAAUUGUGAGAUUCAGGAUCUGGUUGAUAUUUUGAGAGUUUUUACCAUUUAGGUUUGUGGUAACGCACAUCAGGAAUGCACACUUUAUUUAUUUUUAAGUGUGUACCUAUCAUUUGUUGUGUUUUAACAUAUCUUGCCACUACUAUGUAGUUAAGGCACAACGUGAGGCUGCAGCAGAAGCUUGAGGAAUGCAGGGGCUAAUGAUAGUACUCAUCAACCAAAAUUACCGGCGUUGUCAACCAUGCUUUGAACUUUUGGAGAUCAAGCUGUACGGUUGUACCAUGAAGAUUUUUAGUAACUACCUCAACUCUCAUGAGAUGAUUAGCUUAGAAAAUCGAGAUAUUUUCUCAUUAAUUUCAGCUGUUCUGAUGAGGCACAUAGUUUUGUGCUUGGGGUGCUAAAAAAGAAUAGGAUGUUUUCUUUUUUAUACAUCUCGUUCCUUAUCCUUGCGUCAGAACAAAAAGGAGAUAAGAAUACUUGGUCUUUACAUGGAAAGGAUGCUCCUAUGGUUAUUGUGAUCUCAAAUUUUGCAUAAUUUCUUCUAAUGUUUUAUUUACUCUUUUACUAGCUUCCCUGUCUUUGCUUUUUUAUUGUGGCGUUUAUUUGCCCACCCUGGCAUGCUCUGUUACCCAAGCUGCAGUUUAAGGAUUCAAGUGGCGAUUGCAACCCAAAACAUUGCGAAGAAUCUGCUGCCAGAGGCUUCAUUAUGCACACCUUUUCUUUUUACAAAAUGGAGUCUAAUCUGCUGUCAUCACAGCAACAGGUAUGCCUACAUCACCAAUGUUUGUACAGUGACAUUUAUUCACACACAAAUGAAGAUAUUCUAAGGUUAGAAUGAACAUCACCUUCAGCACCUGGUGUGUAUCGUAGUUGGGUGACAGAAGAUUGCGCAGUGGGCCUCUCGGCAGUGUGAAAAUCCGGUAGAAGAAAUCACCUGAUCAUAUAUUUGAUUAUACUUCUGAUUUCUCAAUCAUAUAUAAAGAACAGAAUAUAAUGGACAAACCAGGUGAUAUUGCCGCGGGUGUCCUAGAUGGGGUGUGUUCUGCAUUAUGAAUAGUAGAUGUAGCUUUCUUAUGAGCCAUGUUUAGUGCAUACCUCUCCCUUUCCCUUUGUCUCUUCAACUCUUUAGGACCUACCAUUUGGCCUGCGUGGACGAAAUCUUUACCUUGGCUCGAGUUGGUGAAUAUUUAAGUUACUUACCUGAGUUGGUGAUGUUGAAUAGGUCCUGAAAUGGGGUCCCUAAGUCAUCACGCCGAGUCGUAAUUAUUGACAUUUUCCUUGUUACAAAAUGAGCUCCGGUUUGAUUUGAAGGAAUUUGGAUCAUGAAAUGUAGCCUGAUCAAACAUCAUCACAUCAACAUUUAUGCCUAUACCACCAAUGUCAGUACAGUAAUAGUUUUUCACACACAAAUGGAGUCCAAAUUCGUUAGGCCGAGAGGAUGCCAUAUGCAACUGUCUCAAUCAGGAUCUUAGUGUUCCCAAUCAUGGUUGUUGUACAUGAAAGAUUUACUUGAUCCAUAAACAGGAUGGUUGCAGGAGAAAAAUAAGUAUAAUGAUUUGGUGUUUUCAAUGCUUCGAGCUGAAAAACAGUUCAGUUACUUGAAUUGCUGAUGUUGGUUAGGUCAUGAAAUGGAGUCCCUAAGUCGGUACACCGAGAGGAUGCCAUAUGUAACUGUCACAAUCAGGAUCUUAGUGUUCCCAAUCAUGGUUGUUGUACUUGAAAGAUUCAGUUAUGAGCCAUAAACAGGAUGGUUGUAGGAGAAAAAGAAGUACAAUGAUUUGGUGCUUUCAAUGCUUUGAGCUGAAAACCAGCUCAGAUUAUAUGCUUCCAGCGGUGAAACUGCUUGUCACAUUAGUCUUUUUCAUUGUAUUUUAGCGCUUCCGGUGAUUCCUUCUCUGUCAUCAUUGUACUUCCCGUCGGCCUUCUUAGUAUCAGAAAUGCUGGAGAAGAGCUACGCGGCGGGCACGAAGUCCUUCCCGGCGAACAGGUAUCCGUCGGGGACUCGAACGUCCGCCAUACGACCACGUCGUCAGCGCGGAACAACACAAAGUUGUCGUCAUCGCUCAUGGCGCCCGCGACUCAGGCAGAUCUGAUUGGGCGACCAGGUGGUUUCCAUUGGCCGUGGAAAUCAUACCUGGCUGAUCUGAUGGGGCUGUCUGCUGCUUCAAAACUCAGGCAAAUUGCUGCAUAAUAAUCUUGUUGUAGCCUGACCAAUCUGUGAAUAUUUGAUUGUAGGUGAAGGAGGAGCGGCCACCCACUCGACGGUGCGGUGCAGGGUGGCAAGGGUGCCCGGCAGGGAGGCGUCGACACGGUGCAGGGCCGCGAGGGAACCGUCCAGGGAGGCGACGAUGCGAUGCAGGGAUCGAGGCCGCCGUGCAAGGACGUGACGGGGCUGCUGAGCUUCGUCUGGGGCGGUGGCGAGGAAAGGCAAGGAGAGGGACGAGGGAGACGAUUAGGUUUAGUUUCCUUUUUUUUGAAUUUAUUAGAUGGUUAGAUUAGCGUGAUUUGAGGGGCUGCGGAGGUGGGAUGGAGAGUUUCAUAUUUUCAUCUGGUGGAGUAUGGUCAGUCUAUGUAAACUGCUAAGCGCACACCACAUGUCGAAUAAAUUAAUGGUGGCUGUUAGAUUGGGUCGUGUGGGCUUCAUCCUGUGGUGGUGAUGUGUCUGUGUACAUUUUGCGGGGUGUACGUAAGAAAGUUCUUGUUCGAUUGUUUAAUGGUUGUGGAGAUUGGGAAAGAAUUAAAGUGUGCUGGA